GAUGAACGCUGGCGGCGUGCCUAAUACAUGCAAGUCGAGCGAACAGACGAGGAGCUUGCUCCUCUGACGUUAGCGGCGGACGGGUGAGUAACACGUGGAUAACCUACCUAUAAGACUGGGAUAACUUCGGGAAACCGGAGCUAAUACCGGAUAAUAUAUUGAACCGCAUUGUUCAAUAGUGAAAGACGGUUUUGCUGUCACUUAUAGAUGGAUCCGCGCCGCAUUAGCUAGUUGGUAAGGUAACGGCUUACCAAGGCAACGAUGCGUAGCCGACCUGAGAGGGUGAUCGGCCACACUGGAACUGAGACACGGUCCAGACUCCUACGGGAGGCAGCAGUAGGGAAUCUUCCGCAAAGGGCGAAAGCUUGACGGAGCAACGCCGCGUGAGUGAUGAAGGUCUUCGGAUCGUAAAACUCUGUUAUUAGGGAAGAACAAAUGUGUAAGUAACUAUGCACGUCUUGACGGUACCUAAUCAGAAAGCCACGGCUAACUACGUG
rnacentral:rRNA from 1 species